UUCUCUAUCUCCAAAAUCUGAGAAUAUGAUAUAUUCAGAUCCUUGAUCUUUUGGGUUUCAUAAGCGUAAGCCACAGCCAAAAAUAAAAAAAAUAAGAAAAUAAAAAAGAGUAAAACAAAUGGGAGGUCAUGAUUUUUAUAUUACCAAAGCUGCGUCUUUUACAUCUACUCUGUUCGAUUAUUCUGCUUUGCAAGCUUUGGACUAGCAGCCACAUCUAAGAUUCACAGUGAAGAAGUUAAUGCUUUGAGAGAAAUAGGGAGGGAACUGGAGAAUAAAGAUUGGAUUUAGGGGAAGGACCAUCCAAUGGAGAAGGAAACUGGGCGCAAGAACAUGGGCUGAAAGGCUUUGAGAACUCAGUGAUCUGUAACUGCAGCUUCAACCACAAUUCCUUUUUACCAUGUGGUAACUGGGCUUUAAGGGCACAGAACCUGUUAGGAAAUGCUCCACCAGGGUUCUCUAAGCUCCAUUACCUCAAAAUAUUGAAUCUCGGUUGAAACUGUCUCAAUAGUACUAUACCUCAUGAAUGGACUACAAUGCGCUUGUUUUCUAGCUGUAAGUACCUCUGCUACUUCUACUUUUAUUAUGGUUUGACAGUUUCCAUUCCUUAAAUCAACUUAUAGCAUUAAACACUUCUUUUUCAUCAAAUAUGCAGCUCUUUGAUAGAGAACAUGUUAUCAGGACCAUUUCCAAAAGUUCACACCAAUAUUACCACCCUCACAGACCUGAAUGUUUAAUGCUUCCCUUUAUUCUGAUACCAAUGACUUCAUAGAUAGCUGAUAAAAGAGUGCUGGUUGGCAGCUUGACACAGCGUGGUUUGACUUUGUCAGCUGGACCAAUUCCACCUGAAAUUUGGAAGCUGACCAAUUUACAGAAACUAUAAUGAACUUCCUUUUUACCUUAGGUUCCCAAAGAGUAGGAGGAUAAAUGACACUGAUUUCUGGGAAUUGGACACUGAUUGAAAAACUGUAAGCUCCCUACCAUUAUUUCUAUCAUUAAUCAUAGUUAUAAUUAGAGUAGCUGAUCUGGAAAAUUUUCAUUCUUUCUUUUAGGAUAUGGGGGUUGUUCUCUAAAGGGCCGGUACCUUGUAGCAUUUAUGCCUUAACAAAAUUAGCUGAUCUGUAUGCAAUUGUAAAAUCUGUCUUCUUUUUUUUUUCUUUUUUUUCUUUUUUUUUUUCGUGUUCAAACAAGAAGAGUAUAUAUAACUGCACUGUGUUUACCACAUCUGUGAUUUUGGGAGGACAACUGACUUAAAAGGCAAAGAAUCUCCUUUCCCAACAUUGGCUAAAAUGCAAUCAAUGAAAUCGCUGAUGCUUUAGAGCAUCUAAGCUUUUGCUGUCUGGACCUUCUCAAGCAUCUUAGCCUUUUGUCACGUUAUGUGCAAAAGGGAUGGAAUCCUCGAGGCUACACUCUCCACUCUCCUUGAGAAUUCAAGAAAAGUUUGGAAUAUUCUAGAGAACGCAAGAAAAAUUUAGACAUAUAGAAAGGAAUCUCUUUAGAAUAGUUCAUGUCAAUAUCUAGUAGAAUAGUCUAUCAUCUCAAUUAGAUUUAUGCCAUGUUUACAUAUCUGGAACCUUAUAAGCCAUCUAUAUAAAAGGGUUGGAUCAUCCAAGAAUCCUUGUAAUACAAAUCCUUUACAUUUUCUCAAACUCUCUCAAUAUCUUUUACUUCCUACUUUACUUCUCUCAGCUUAGUGCCACACGGGAAUGUUAAGAGAGUUAGGCCCAUGACAUUUUGUUCUUUUGACCUUCGCUAGGAAGGUAUUUUUGCUCUUUAAGUUUGUUUGAAGCAUACCAAGGAACUUCUCUUUUGCUGUCCAUGCGUUAUUCUUGACCAUGUUCCAUACCAACUUACAUUUACUGCCACAAAAAAAUAAUAAUAAAUAAAUAAAUAAAAAUUCAAACACCAGACUCCAUCCGAUCAAAAAUAAAUUUUUCAAACCCAUUCAACCAAAUAUCAGUCACCCCAAACUCAUCUAAUAGUAAAAAAAUGGUGAAAUGUUUGCUUAACACUGACCCACAAGGAAGUAGAUGGAGUCGACUAGGUUGCAUAUGGAAUGUUCUCGCUUGCAUGAAAACUGAUGUGUUGUAAUGCCAACUAUGGCAUAGAAAGCCAGAAAAAGCAUCAAAACUGAUGUGUUGUAAUGCCGAUUAUGGCAUAG